rnacentral:rRNA from 1 species
UACGUAGGGGGCAAGCGUUGUCCGGAAUUAUUGGGCGUAAAGAGCGUGUAGGCGGCCAGAUAAGUCCGCUGUGAAAUCUCGAGGCUCAACUUCGAGCUGUCGGUGGAAACUAUCUGGCUAGAGUCCGGAAGAGGAGAAUGGAAUUCCUGGUGUAGCGGUGAAAUGCGCAGAUAUCAGGAAGAACACCCGUGGCGAAGGCGGUUCUCUGGGAUGGUACUGACGCUGAGACGCGAAAGCGUGGGGAGCGAACAGG